UUUGAUUUCGAUUUCCAAUCAUAAAUAUCUUGAUAAUCAGACAGGCGAUCAGCUUGUUAAAGUCACGGGGUUCCUGAUUGACCUGAAGGUUUAUAAUUACCAUUGCAGCAUGAUCUAGCUAAGUCCAGGAUUUUGUUUCAGAAUCUGAGGCAAAGUUACACAAUCCCUUUAUUACGGAGGACGCGUGAAGGUAAGAAAGUGCUCUGUGAUCUUUAAUGCAAAUUAUAUUUUCACAUUCCCUUAGUUUUUGGAAAUCAAAUAGCAGUAUCUUCUUGCCAGUUGAAAUAGUACAGCUAAUAAUAUAUCUACCCGAAAUUACGCCCUUAUAAACAAUGAAAAGUUUCAUACCUGAAAUAUAUAUUUUAAUGUAUGAUUUUACUUGAUGCAAGGAGCUGUGUAUUUCUUUCUGAUUGUAUGUAACAAUGCGAAAUCCAGCCCGAGGCAGUGAUGCAUCGUGUGCUAAAAAAAAAAUUAUUCAAUUGUAUUAAAUUACAAGAAAAAGGUUCUUGUCAUACACGCUCUUUACAUGAUUACAUGAUGUACAUGUGAAAGGAAUACGGUAUUUUCUUUCAAUUAAUCCGUUACUGGUAGGAAUGAAAUCCUUGACGCUAGAGCGCCGUAAUGGUAUCCAUGCUUAAAGCCGGGGUAAUAAUUGCAAAGCGCCAGGAGUGUCAAGUCUGACAGGCAUGAGUGCUAUGCAAGAACCCACUAUGUUAAUUAUUAUUAUCACUCAUAUUCCGCUACUGUACAUUGAGUAACUGAGAACCAAUUUUUUAACGAAUGUCUGAAGAAUUAUAGUCGAAAAUUCCUGAUAUGAAAUUCUUGGCGAUGUCAACACGUAAUUUGAAUGUCAUUGCACUAUUGAUCUGUGGCUACUGGUGAAGACACACACCUAGGCCCCGACGUUGCAUAAAACUUACCAUUGAUGGUAACUUUGCCAUCAAUGGCACGUACCAUAGUAACAGGGCUCAACAGCCAAUCAAAAUUAAGGGUUCCAUGGUAGUUAUACCAUUGAUGGCAAAUUUACCAACAAUGGUAAGUUUUGUGCAACGGGGUCCUGAUUUUUUUUAAAUACUGUUACGGCCCUCCAUCUUAGAACGGGUCCUGGAUGCAGGAGGGCUGGCCUGUCCCUUGCCUCUAUCACCGUCAUCUGACGAAGAAUUUGCCAUCUUGAAUAAUGCGAGCGGUUUCUAUUUGGCUUGUAGUUUAGAGGCCCGGACGUAGCUCCGUUUUCCCAAAGUAUAUGGGUGUGGAGAUGAGAGGUGUUUGGGAUAGGUGGAUGUGUAUUCCCUAUGAGAGGGUUAUAUUACGUCAGUCUAUGGAGACUCAACUAAUCGCACGUUAUGAAACGAUGGAUUGUUUAACUGUAUACUUUAAUAAUACAAACAUAAGUCAACAUCUCCAACACGUUAUCAUAGUUAACACCGACACCGAUUACCUGGAUUAAUCUCAACAAGUAGUAAAGGCAGAGAUUGCCUUUUGUAGGAACUCUAUUUCUCGCUUCCAAUCCUUUUUCCUUACUUUAGCUCAGCUGGAGCAAAGCGGAGAGUUCGCUAUCUGACCAAGACGAGAGCCAGCGUCAAGGUGACGAAAUUACCGUUAAAUACUGGUAUUUAUAGCCUCUGAGACGCUCUGAGAGCUGCCCUACGCAUGGUGCGUCCGUAAUCGCGCUCUGAGCCCUUACGCCCCAAAAGCUUACUGCGCCCACUACGUUUUCUGCAAGAUAACUUAAAUUGUGGCGAACUGGUUCGUUACAAUACUAUGAAUAUUGUUAGGUGAACAAAUAUAUAUGUUUGGGACGAAGGUUGAGGGAGGGCCUGCACAUGACUUGCUUAGCCGUACACUAGUAUUUUGUAAUAUGUAAUUUCAUUUGGCAACACAAGAGAAGAAGAACAAAAGGGGAAUAAAACAAAAUAAGAGGAAGGAAAAGAAAUGAAAAGAAUAGAAAAAAAAAGAAAA